rnacentral:rRNA from 1 species
GAUGAACGCUAGCGGCAGGCUUAACACAUGCAAGUCGAGGGGCAGCGUGAGGGUUAGCAAUAACCCUUGACGGCGACCGGCGCAAGGGUGCGUAACGCGUGAGCAACUUGCCCUUAUCAGGGGGAUAACCGGUGGAAACGCCGACUAAUACCCCAUGGCAUUGAGUUGAGGCAUCUCUACUCAAUUAAGAAUUUCAGAUAAGGAUAGGCUCGCGUGACAUUAGCUAGACGGCGGGGUAACGGCCCACCAUGGCGACGAUGUCUAGGGGUUCUGAGAGGAAGGUCCCCCANACUGGAACUGAGACACGGUCCAGACUCCUACGGGAGGCAGCAGUGAGGAAUAUUGGUCAAUGGACGCAAGUCUGAACCAGCCAUGCCGCGUGCAGGAUGACGGCUCAUGAGUUGUAAACUGCUUUUGAUGAGGGUAAAAUUGGGUAACGUGUACCUAACUGCAAGUAUCAUACGAAUAAGGAUCGG